GAUGAACGCUAGCGAUAGGCUUAACACAUGCAAGUCGAGGGGCAGCAUGGUCUUAGCUUGCUCAGGCUGAUGGCGACCGGCGCACGGGUGCGUAACGCGUAUGCAACUUGCCUCACAGAGGGGGAUAACCCGUCGAAAGACGGACUAAUACCGCGUACACUCUAUGUUGGGCAUCCAAUGUAGAGGAAAUGAAAUUCGCUGUGAGAUAGGCAUGCGUCCCAUUAGCUAGUUGGUGAGGUAACGGCUCACCAAGGCGACGAUGGGUAGGGGAACUGAGAGGUGGAACCCCCACACUGGUACUGAGACACGGACCAGACUCCUACGGGAGGCAGCAGUGAGGAAUAUUGGUCAAUGGGCGAGAGCCUGAACCAGCCAAGUCGCGUGAAGGAUGACUGUCUUAUGGAUUGUAAACUUCUUUUAUACGGGAAUAACAAGAGUCACGUGUGGCUCCCUGCAUGUACCGUAUGAAUAAGCAUCGGCUAACUCCGUG
rnacentral:rRNA from 1 species